CCUUGAAUGGACCAUAGAGCACAGAACGGUACAGAACAGGAACAGGCCCUUCGGCCCACAAUGUUUCUGCCAAACAUGAGGCCAAAAUCAUCUCUUAUCUGCCUGCACGUGAUCCAAAUCCCUCCAUUCCCUGCAUAG